rnacentral:rRNA from 1 species
CCCUUAGAUGUUCUGGGCCGCACGCGCGCUACACUGAUGCAGUCAACAAAUUUAUUUCCUGAGCUGAAAAGUUUGGGUAAUCUUUUGAAACUGCAUCGUGCUGGGGCUUGACGAUUGCAAUUAUUUGUCACAAACGAGGAAUUCCUAGUAAACGCAAGUCAUCAUCUUGCAUUGAUUACGUCCCUGCCCUUUGUACACACCGCCCGUCGCUCCUACCGAUUGAAUGUUCCGGUGAACACUUUGGAAUAGUUCUUAUGUGAGGGGAAACUCUUUGCUUGGAUACUGUGAAGUUGUGUAAACCUUAACAUUUAGAGGAAGGAGAAGUCGUAACA